rnacentral:rRNA from 1 species
GACGAACGCUGGCGGCGUGCUUAACACAUGCAAGUCGAACGGAAAGGCCCUGCUUGCAGGGUACUCGAGUGGCGAACGGGUGAGUAACACGUGGGUUAUCUGCCCUGCACUUCGGGAUAAGCCUGGGAAACUGGGUCUAAUACCGGAUAGGAGCCAUUUUUAGUGUGAUGGUUGGAAAGUUUUUUCGGUGUAGGAUGAGCUCGCGGCCUAUCAGCUUGUUGGUGGGGUAAUGGCCUACCAAGGCGGCGACGGGUAGCCGGCCUGAGAGGGUGGACAGCCACAUUGGGACUGAGAUACGGCCCAGACGCCUACGGGAGGAAGCAGUGGGGAAUAUUGCACAAUGGGCGCAAGCCUGAUGCAGCGACGCCGCGUGGGGGAUGACGGCCUUCGGGUUGUAAACUCCUUUCGCUAGGGACGAAGCUUUUUGUGACGGUACCUAGAUAAGAAGCACCGGCUAACUACGUG